rnacentral:rRNA from 1 species
CGGAGGGGCUAGCGUUGUUCGGAAUUACUGGGCGUAAAGCGCACGUAGGCGGUUUUCAAGUCAGAGGUGAAAGCCCGGGGCUCAACUCCGGAAUUGCCUUUGAAACUGGGAGACUUGAGCACGGGAGAGGUGAGUGGAAUUCCGAGUGUAGAGGUGAAAUUCGUAGAUAUUCGGAGGAACACCAGUGGCGAAGGCGGCUCACUGGACCGUAGUUGACGCUGAGGUGCGAAAGCGUGGGGAGCAAACAGGAUU